CCUACGGGAGGCAGCAGUGAGGAAUAUUGGUCAAUGGUCGGGAGACUGAACCAGCCAAGCCGCGUGAGGGAGGAAGGCACAGAGUAUUGUAAACUUCUUUUGUCAGGGAAUAAAGAGUGGGACGUGUCCCUGGUUGAGUGUACUUGAUGAAUAAGCAUCGGCUAACUCCGUGCCAGCAGCCGCGGUAAUACGGAGGAUACGAGCGUUAUCCGGAUUUAUUGGGUUUAAAGGGAGCGUAGGUGGUCUGUUAAGUCAGUGGUGAAAGGUGGAGGCUCAACCGUAAAAGUGCAAUUGAUACUGGCAGGCUUGAGUACAGUUGAGGUAGGCGGAAGGCGGGGUGUAGCGGGGAAAUGCUGAGAUAUCACGAAGAACCCCGAUUGCGAAGGCAGCUUAAGAAACGGUGACUGAAAUUGAUGCUCGAAAGUGUGGGGAUCAAACAGGAUUAGAUACCCGAGGAGUC
rnacentral:rRNA from 1 species